rnacentral:tRNA from 1 species
UUGAUUUCUCAAUUUGUUUCUCUUGAAGACCAGGAUGAAAUAUCAUCACUUUUGAAAAUAC